rnacentral:rRNA from 1 species
GAGUAACGGCUCACCAAGGCGACGAUCAGUAGCCGACCUGAGAGGGUGAUCGGCCACAUUGGAACUGAGACACGGUCCAAACUCCUACGGGAGGCAGCAGUGGGGAAUAUUGCACAAUGGGCGAAAGCCUGAUGCAGCAACGCCGCGUGAGCGAUGAAGGCCUUCGGGUCGUAAAGCUCUGUCCUCAAGGAAGAUAAUGACGGUACUUGAGGAGGAAGCCCCGGCUAACUACGUGCCAGCAGCCGCGGUAAUACGUAGGGGGCUAGCGUUAUCCGGAUUUACUGGGCGUAAAGGGUGCGUAGGCGGUCUUUUAAGUCAGGAGUGAAAGGCUACGGCUCAACCGUAGUAAGCUCUUGAAACUGGAGGACUUGAGUGCAGGAGAGGAGAGUGGAAUUCCUAGUGUAGCGGUGAAAUGCGUAGAUAUUAGGAGGAACACCAGUAGCGAAGGCGGCUCUCUGGACUGUAACUGACGCUGAGGCACGAAAGCGUGGGGAGCAAACAGGAUUAGAUACCCUGGUAGUCCACGCCGUAAACGAUGAGUACUAGCUGUCGGAGGUUACCCCCUUCGGUGGCGCAGCUAACGCAUUAAGUACUCCGCCUG